UUCAACAAUUUUAGCUGAUAUGACGUUAGAAGUUUUUUUUUCAGAUUUUUAAGCAAGUAAGUAUAAUUAUGCCAAAAGUACGUCCAAAAAACACAGUUUAUCACGCAUCAAACAUUGGUGCAAAAAAAAAUCUGUUUUUUCAUUUUCAUAUUUUCCUAUGUAGGUACGUUAAAUUAAGGGGGAAUUUUGGGUAAAAAUGCUGACAGAUUUUUAAAUCUUGAGGUAUUUUCAUACUACUCAACAAAUUUUCAACUUCAACUUCCACCUCCUCGAGUCUCCUUUGAUGUUUUGCGUAAAAUUACUCUUAUAUCUAACACAAUGAACCCAAAAUUUUUGAGCUUGAGUUUCAAGCCAAAAUAAUGCGAAAAAUGGGUUCACUUCCAGCUCUCUCUUCCAAUGCAAGUUUCAUGAUUUCGGAACAGACGAUUUAUGAGUUUUUCAAUUCGAGUAGAAUUUUUGACUCAUGAAAAAAUUCGCUUUCCAAUCUCUCAACUCGGAUUUUCGUGAUUCACCUUCCUUAGUUGAUUCGCAAUUACUAAGUUGAGACAGGAUUUGACACAGAUGUUGAUUAUCGAAUAUAGAUCAAAUGAUGGACGGUAAAGAUUCCUCUCUCGACUCCCCCCCCCCACAUAUUUGGAACAUUUUGUCAGUACAGUCAAACUUGGAUAAGUGGAACCCAUGUAACUGGAAAACCUCUAUAAGUGGAAUAAAAUUCGUUUCCCUAGCACUUCCCUAUGUAAACCCAUGUUAAAGUCACCUCUUUAAAUGGAAACAGAACCUAUGUAAGUGGAAUUUUGUUUUGAGUAGCAGAACUUCUGGAACUGAAAUGUUGCUUUCGUUUUACCUCUAUAAGUGAAAUUCUUUUCCUUCUUACCUCUAUAACUGAAACAUUUAUCAUAACAGCACCUACAGAAGUGGAAUUUGUUCCAGUUAACGAGGUAAGAAGGAGAGGAAUUUCACUUAUAGAGGUAAAACGAAAGCAACAUUUCAGUUCCAGAGGUCCUGCUACUCAGAAUAAAAUUCCACUUAUAUAAGACUUUAACAUAGGUUUAGAUGGGGAAGUGGUAGGGAAACGAAAACCUCCAUAACUGGAAUUCCAAUUUGUUCAACCUCUAUAAGUGAAACCUACUUUAGUGGAAAACCUAUGUAAGUGGAAAAAAAUCCGUUUCCCUUGCGAUUCCACUUAUCCAGGUUUGACUUAUGACUUAAGUACAACAACUACUACAUACGUAGUUUAUGAUCGAUCCAAGAAGUUACCUAUAGUUAUUAAACCACACAUGCUACACAUUUUAUAGUUGAAUUUCAAAUACACAUCUAACAUUUUUUCUGACAUUUUAACAUGCAGAUUAAGUAGCUAGGUACAUAAAUUUCUCAUUUCCAGGAAUAUUUCUCAAUGUUUGGAUCCUCGCUGUAUAAAAUCUUCAUUAAAAUACUAAGUAGCAUAAAUAAAAUGAGAAAGAAAGACGUAAUUGGCAAUCGAACUUGUACCUACGAGUAUAGGUAGGUAGGUACAUUACAUACUACAUAGGUAGUACAUAGUACAGCAGGCGCUCAGCAUGUACGUGAUCAUAAAUAUUUGCGCAUUUGAUUAUAAAAAUAAUGACGUACAAACCUACAUUGCUACUAUUUCCGAUGAAUUUUCGUAUUCAAAAGCAAUAUUCAGCGUACAAGAUUGAUACCCUUGAGACGCCUCCUUUUAAUCUGGCAAGUGAGAUUUUCCUAUAUAUAUCAGUGAUAUCCCGAAUGAAAAUCACAAAUCAUAAUAAUAUAAACGCACUGUGUCGUAUAAUCUCGUAACUAGUGUGCAUUUUUCGUGUACCUAUCUCAAACGUAAUUUGUUUUAGACGUUUCAACUUGACAAUAAUUAUGAAUUUUUACAAAAUAUUUUUCUUCGUUUUCGCCGCGUUGAUGAUGUUUACGCAGAUGACCUCGGCCAAAUGUCUUCAUAAUGGAAAGAAAUGCAAAGCUAAUGGCAGCUUGGGCAACUGCUGCUCUGGAUACUGUUUUCAACUCAUCGGACACAAGGAAGGAAAAUGCCAAAAUCGCUGAUCAUCUACGAUCGAGCAAUAUUUAUACCAUGGAUACCUUACCGAUGUGAUUUAGAAUGUUUUCGUGUUUAGGUACUUACUAUAAUAUUAUUUAUUAACUUCAGUCUUUUUGUUUUUUGUAUUUUGUUCAUUUCAUUAUCUAAUUUUAUACUUAGGAGGUAAUAUAUUUUUUAUGCUUUAAAAUACCUAUCGUUUCUUUUUUCUGCUAUGCAUUAUACCCGUGAUUCUAAUUUAAUGUGUAUUGUGUAAUAUACACAUUUCAAAAUGGUCUUAUGAGGUUGUUAUAAUUUCAAAGUAAAUUAACGGCGAGAAAAAAUUCAUCGCACAAACAACACGUACCUUCCUAGGUACAUGACAUAUUGGUACCGAUUUUUUUCUUCGAAAUACUUAAAUGACAAGUAAGUAUCAAAUGAUGAAUGGAAGGCUGCAUGAUUUUUCAAACAGUGUUUCGUCUUUUCAAGAUUUGCCAUUCUGAAUUGAAUUUUUUUAAAUGAAAUUUUAAAAAGAUGAAAAAAAUAUUGAAUCAAUCUGACGAGAUUUUGAAUUUGAUGAAAUCCUAAAAUCAUGUAUAAAGCUCGAGCGAACCUCGAAAAAAAAGGAACUCCAUAGGGAGAUUCAGCAUCUCAAACUGUACCGAUUGAGUGCUAAGGCUAAAAAAAAUCGAUUUUGGUGCAUUUGACUUUUUUAAAAAAACAUGAAUUUUUAGCUAAAAUGACCCUUCUUUGAGACAUUAUGGCUCAGCCCCCUGGAUGGUAUCGCGGUGGGCAACAAUUUUUGGGGGUGGUUUAAACUCAAAAGGAACCACAUAAUUAUGUAUAUUUCAAAAAAUUUCUAGACCUACAUUGUUUUUUGACCCGCCUCAGUGCACAUUUUAUAACUGAAUUUUAAAUUACAAUUAUUUUUUUCUGAAAUUUUAACAUGCAGAUUAAGUAAGGUAGGUGUAGGUAGCUAGGUACAUAGAUGUACAUAAAUUUCUCAUUUCCAGGAAUAUUUCUCUCUGUUUGGAUCCUCGCUGCGUAAGAUCUUCAUUAAAAUACAAAGUACCUACCAUAAAUAAAAUAAGAAAGAAAGACAUACCUAAUUAAUUGGCAAUCGAACUCGUACCUACAAGUAUGCAUUACAUAGUUGUAUCUGUACCCUUGGGAAACCUUCUUUUAGUGAGAUUUUCGUAGGUAUAUAUACCUGUGAUAUCCCGUAUAAUUACAAAAUCAUAAUAAUACCUUCAUACAAACGAAUUGUGCCGUAUAAUCGCGUAACCAAUGUGCAUUUUUCGUGUAUCUCAUAGGUGCUCGUAUUUGUUUUCGACGUAUCAUUCAACUUUACAAUAUGAAUUUUUACAAAAUAUUUUUCCUCACGACAGCCAAAUGUCUGAGUAAUGGAAAUACGUAUAAGACUGAUGGCAGCAUAGGCAACUGCUGCUCUGGAAAUUGUGCUAAGGACAAAACCGAUCCCGGAAAAGACUUUGGAAUAUGUUCAAACCAGCAUUAGAAUGCUUUCGUACCUUAAUUUAUAGGUUGAAUAUUUGCUGAUUUUUCUACGCAAACUCCAGCAGUCCAUUCUGGUUCCUUGUGGCAGCGCCCGGAACAGCAAUUUCCUUGUCUGUUACUGGGUUUACAAUCGUUUCCAGUAAGGAUGCAUUUUGAGGCCACAGAUUGCAUCGUGACCAAGAUGACUGCGCAAACGAACAAAAAUAUUUUGUAGAAAUCCAUCAUAAGAUACGAGUACUUUCUCGAGAAAAUUUAUAAAAAGGAUCGAAUAUGAAUUGAAAUUCCAGGAUUAUAUUGAUCGGUGCAAAAGUGUACAGAAAUCACGUACCUACAAUAAAAUAUUACAUCUGUCAUAAACAUGGAAGAGCUGAUAUGCGGAAAAUAUGAUUAAGAUCAAAAAUCGAUUUCCGAAUGAUGUGAACGUGAGAAGAGCGAAGUAUGCUAAGUGCAGUUUUAAUUGGAACAAAUUUUUUCAGCGUAAUGUAUGUAAUUAUUGUAAUGUACUUCACACGUGCAUAUGAAGAGUGAUAUUCCAAAACUCGCUUGGUCCAUUUUCACAACUUUUCAGGAGAGAGGAAAAACAGUUUCCCUUUAAACGGGUAAAUUGGCUUUUUAGGCGAGUUUAGCACUUUAUUUGGGUGGAUUUAUGAUGUAGGAGUGUAGGUAUACAUUUCAUCCACUAAAAACUGCUGAAAAAAAUUUCAAUAAAAAUGGACAAAGCGCGUUUUGGAACAUUAUUUUUUUUUAAAUUUUUAGUGAAUUGGCUAUUUAAGUGAGUUUAACACCUCAUUUUGGUAGGUUGAUGAUGUAGGAAUGUGAGUUAAUACUUCAUCUACCAGGUCCCACUGAAAAUCCAACUUUGAUAAAAAUGGACAAAGCGAGUUUUGGAAUAUCACUCUUCAAUAUGUAUAAUAAUAGUUAGGUAACAUAAUUUUUUCAAUUUCGUGAAAUCAUCAAUGCAUUUUUUUCAAAAUUGUACGUCUUUGAAGUUGGAGUAACUGAAUUCUAAUUCAGAUCGCUUCCGUUAUUUAUGUGGAAAACUAGAAGUCCAAAAAUUUUCUCAUGUUUAUUUCAGUGAGCUUUCGAAACAAUUUUUUUUGGUUCAAACACAUCAAAAUUUUCUUGAAGGACAUGAAAAUCGUACUUAGUAGGUAUCUCAGAAAAUAAGUUUAACAACACGAGACAAAACUAUUUUAGGAAAUUUAUGCACUCCAAGAUUUUUGAAAAUAUGUAGUAAAAAUUCGCCUGAUCUUGAGACUAAUGAGAAAGUGUCCAAAUCGAUACGAACAUAUAUCAUCCAAGCAAUGCUACAUCGAAAGGGCAUGCAAGAAUACAUCACCAGCAAAAAUUUCAGAUGCUGAAGUACAUUUUGGGGAUUUUGAUGAAUUUUUGAAAAAAUUGAAGGAUCAAAAAUAUCAAAAAAUGACAAUUUUACCAAAUUGACUUGGAAAUCUGAAAUUUAGUAAGUAUUUGCCCUAUUUUCAAUUUCCUAAAUCGAUUAGAAAAUGGUUUCAGCCCAUUUUGAGCAACUUUGAACUUUCCAGCAGAUCUUGUUUCUAUACACAAUUAACGAAGUCGGAAAGGCAAAAUUUACUACAUUAUAAUAUGUACAUACGUUUGUUUCAACAUUCAGAGUCAAUUGGGUGUUCUUUUGAGUCGUUUUAGCAACCCGAUGGGAGUCAAGGAAACUGCUGUACCGGGUAGUGCCACAAGCAACCAGGAUGGGCUGCUGGAUAUUGCAGAUGAGUGAUAAAAUCUUCAAGUUGCAAAAAAACAUAUUAAAAUUUCAGUUUGGUACAUUCACGUAAAUAAUAUUUUGCUAUUUUUAUACUUUAUUCGAUAAAUAAUACGGAUUCUUGAUGUGGAAUUUCAUUACUUCUCAAUAAAUUCAUAUUUUAAAACGUAUUCUUUCAAUCUCUUUAUUCAGAACUUUUUAUUGCUUAAUUUUUGUGGUAGCAAAUACGAGUACGUAAGUGUGGAUUGUACGUUUGGAUAUUUUCGAGAAAAAAAAUGAUGAUUUUUUGCAUUGAUGAUUUUAUGAACAUGAAAAAAUGAUGUUACAUAUUCUGAAAUUUUUAUUUUUUUAAAUUCAUGGAAUUCUCGGAUUAUUUUGAUUGAUGUUAGCGGUGUAGAUAUCGUGUGCACGAAAUUAGGUUCACAUUAUUAAGGAAACGUUGCUCUACUGUAAGAAAAAACACACACUUUUGAUACAUAAUUUUUCUUAAUAUUUGAAUUUUUUUCAUUUUCUUCAAUUUUUUUUGAAAAUUGCAAAAGUUGACUCACGUAGUACAUACCUACAAAAUACAUUACGCUUGGCAUAUACUAAUUCGAAUUUCUCACGUUCACAUCAUUAAGCAAUGAUUUUUGAUCGUGAUCAUCUCUCCGCAAAGUAUCAGCUCUUCCGUGUUCAUGACAAAUGCAAUAUUUUAUUGUAGGUACGUGAUUUCUGUGCACUUUUGACACCGAUCAAUAUAAUCCGGGAAUUCCUUCAAUCCAAACAAAUAAAAUUGUCAGCAUAUUAUAACUUCAUUUCCAGUUCAUAAAAUCAUCAGUUUGAGUACAUUUUGUCAACGGUCAAAGUUCGUACUUAAUUCAUUAUUCUAUCCUUUCGUCAAUUUUUUUGAGUAGUACCUACUCGUACAUUUUAGUAUCUAUCUUAUGAUGGAUUUCUACAUACAAAAUAUUUUUGUUCGUUUGCGCUGUCAUCUUUGUCACUAUGCAAUCAGUGGCCUCAAAAUCAUGCAUCCCUACUGGAAAAGAUUGUAAGAUACAUGAAACUUGCUGUAGCUCGUACUGCCAGCACCGACCAGGAAAGGUUAUUGGAUUUUGCAAACAAAAGUGAUCAAAUAUUCAACUUGCAAGAAUACAGGUUAAAAUUCUAGUUUGGCACAUUCACGUAAAUAAUAUUUUUCUAUUUUAAUUUUUGUUCGAUUGAUUAUCUGGAUUCACGAUGUAUAAUGUAGUAAUUUAGUGGUAUUUCAUUACUUCUCAAUAAGUCAAUAUAUUCAUCUAAGUAUUUCGAAACGUAUUCUUUCAAUCUCUUUGUACAAAACUUUUUGAUGCUUAAUAUUUAGAGCAGCAGAUAAUAGGUUGAUGUGAAACCUCCACUUGCACAUUUUCGAGAAAAAAUUAUGAUUAUUUGUAAGUAUCUUUAAAUUGUUCAAAUUUUUUCAAAUGCAGACAAACAUUUUUGACUUUGAUAUUUCAAAUUUCCGUUCUUAGCACAUUUUUUUUUUUUUUUUGUCAACUCUAUCCAACCAAGUAUUCAGUCGCAUAUGCUUAUUGGUCUCUAGGUACGUCUACGUAUCUUCUGCAAUCCAUGACUAUCUUUAAAAAUUCCGUGGAAAGUCGAAACUGCUCCUACGUUGUUAUUGAAAUAAAUCAAAAAAUUAUGGUAAGUACCUACCACUGCUCUACAUUUUUGAAUCUAAACUACUUCAGUACACUUUCUUCUUCAUAAUACCUUUUACCAUAAACUUCGUCUUAAUGAUUUAAACUAAUGACAAUUUCUUCUUCGAAGCAUAAACUCGAUAAUUACUCAAAAAUCCUUGACCAAUUCCCAAAAUUACGAAAAUUCUUGUAUAUAUACUUUCGUUUCAUGGCUUCAAAAAUAUCACAAUUUGUUCGACUUUCAACUCAAACAGUUCGUCAAGUGAAAAAAAAAAUCCUUUUCGAAAAUUCAACUCUUUCUGUGCGUUUACCGAGUUUCGUCGCUAUGAAUUUUUACAAAGUCUUUUUAUUCGUUUUUGCCGCCAUCGUGGCUUUGAUGCCGUCGAUGGCAUCUGCUGAAUGUCUUGCAGCAGGAGCCACCUGCAAGGCGGAUGCUUCGAUGGGAAACUGCUGUUCCGGAAUGUGCCUUCAAGAUAUAAAGGAGACAACUGGAAAAUGCAAAUAAAACGUGCAAAUUCAAUUUUGAAGCGAUACAAAAACAUAAGAUUCGUAUGGACCGACUGGUAAAUUCGCGCAGUUUCAAAUUUUACGCAUACAAAAAGUACAUAGGUACCUACUUAUCAUUAUGUACAAUGUUUGUAUCAAGCACAUUUUUUACUUCUCCAUAAUAUCAAACAAUGAUUGCACUUAUAAUUUUUAUUCUGAAUACAGAACAAUUACAUAAUUUUGCUUUCUA